AUGAUGUCGCACUUCGUAAAUCAUUGUAGAAAACCUAAGCUUUACCUUCAAUAACCGGAGCUACUCCGACAACUCAGAGAGGAUGGCGCAUUGAUAUUGGAGUGCGAUGACCUAGUUCUUCCUUCUUAAAUCCGGAGAGCUGAGGCGAGAAAGGGAGAGCAUAGGUUGCUGCGUGCGGUGAUUGCGGCUUACGGAGUUCACUCGAUUCGUGCCAUUGGGAAGGAGAAGCCGGGUUGAGUUCAUGACAUGACAAAGGAUUUCGAAGCUUUGUUUGGCUUUCUUGCAUUUUGGCCGAGGAAGAACAAACCGGUUUGGAUCACAACCGAUACGAUACAAAUUAUUGGAUCUGUCCGGACUCGAAGAUUUUUGAUGAAAUCCUAGCAGAAAAUUGGGGAAUACUUUUUCAUGCUUUCUGCUUUACCAGUUUUACAAUGGGAUGCAUGGAUUGCACUAAUUUUAGCUUCUGAGCAUCAUUGAUUAAUAUGUUAAGGAAUCCUUAAGCUUUUCAAGUAUAAAUAUGAACUUUUAAGAGUCAUAACUGAACCAAAGUGAUGAAUGAAAACAUAGCUGCAGCUUAGAAGGGUUCUUUUCACCAUUUUCUUGCACUGUAGGUUUUUCCAGCUUCUUCCUCUUGCUGCUGCUACUAGAAGUACCAACAAAAACUGCUUUAGAAAUUAAUUAAGGAUUCAUUUGGGGUAGCUUUUUUACAGCUUUGCUUUUUAGGCAGUUGUUAUGCUUCUGCUUAGCUAAUA